rnacentral:rRNA from 1 species
GUGCUACAAUGGCGCAUACAGAGGGCAGCCAACUUGCGAAAGUGAGCGAAUCCCAAAAAGUGCGUCGUAGUCCGGAUUGGAGUCUGCAACUCGACUCCAUGAAGUCGGAAUCGCUAGUAAUCGUGGAUCAGAAUGCCACGGUGAAUACGUUCCCGGGCCUUGUACACACCGCCCGUCACACCAUGGGAGUGGGCUGCAAAAGAAGUAGGUAGUUUAACCUUCGGGGGGACGCUUACCACUUUGUGGUUCAUGACUGGGGUGAAGUCGUAACAAGGUAGCGCUAGGGGAACCUGGCGCUGGAUCACCUCCUUAAACGAUGAU